rnacentral:rRNA from 1 species
UGAAUACGAGACGCUAAGGCGUCGAAGUAGUGUAUGUCAUACUUCCAAGAAAAGCUUGCACUGUCAUAGAUAAAAAACGCCUGUACCAUAACCGACACAGGUGGGUAGGUAGAGUAUACUAAGGGGCGCGAGAUAACUCUCUCUAAGGAACUCGGCAAAAUAACUCCGUAACUUCGGGAGAAGGAGUGCCUUAUUCGUAAGGUUGCAAUAACAAGAUCCAAGCAACUGUUUAUCAAAAACACAGGUCUCCGCUAAGUCGUAAGACGAUGUAUGGGGGCUGACGCCUGCCCAGUGCCAGAAGGUUAAAGAAGUUGGUUAGCAUUUGCGAAGCUAGUGACUGAAGCCCUGGUGAACGGCGGCCGUAACAAUAACGGUCCUAAGGUAGCGAAAUUCCUUGUCGGGUAAGUUCCGACCCGCACGAAAGGCGUAAUGAUUUGGAUACUGUCUCGGAGAGGGGCUCGGUGAAAUAGACUUGUCUGUGAAGAUGCGGACUACCUGCACCAGGACAGAAAGACCCUAUGAAGCUUUACUGUAACUUGAAAUUGAAAUUGGACUUUAUUCGCGCAGUAUAGGUGGGAGGCGUUGAUUAUAAUCUUGCGGGAUUAUUGGAGCCAUCAGUGAGAUACCACUCUUGUAAUGUUAGAUUUCUAACUUUGAAUCAUUAUCUGUCAAAGGACAGUUUCAGGCGGGCAGUUUGACUGGGGCGGUCGCCUCCCAAACGGUAACGGAGGCGUACAAAGGUUUCCUCUGAACGGUUAGAAAUCGUAUCUAGAGUGUAAAGGCAUAAGGAAGCUUGACUGUGAGACCUACAAGUCGAGCAGGGACGAAAGUCGGUCUUAGUGAUCUGACGGUACUGAGUGGAAAGGCCGUCACUCAACGGAUAAAAGUUACUCUAAGGAUAACAGGCUGAUCUCCCCCAAGAGUUCACAUCGACGGGGAGGUUUGGCACCUCGAUGUCGGCUCAUCGCAUCCUGGGGCGGUAGUACGUCCCAAGGGUUGGGCUGUUCGCCCAUGAAAGCGGUACGCGAGCUGGGUUCAGAACGUCGUGAGACAGUUCGGUCCAUAUCCGGUGUAGGCGUUAGAAUAUUGAGAGGAGCCUUCUUUAGUACGAGAGGACCGAGAAGGACAUACCUCUGGUGUACCAGUUAUCGUGCCGACGGUAAACGCUGGGUAGCUAUGUAUGGAGUGGAUAACCGCUGAAAGCAUCUAAGUGGGAAGCCCACCUCAAGAUAAGUAUUCCC